UUGAGCAUGGUGUCUAAAGUAGCGCUGUCUCCAUGCUUCAAAAUAGUGACGUAGACCUGGGAGAGAGCACAGAGACAUCCAUCACACAUCACACCUGGAGAGAUGCAAAGCUCACUGUGGGUGAAUGGGCUCUGCAAUAAGCAGCUGCUGUGCAUUGGGCUGCAGUUCAGACAGCUUCAGCAAAAGAAACAGAGCAUGAAAUCAUUGUACCACGUGCUGACAGCUAGCAAGCACUUCGUAUACACCCAAUCCACGUCCACCAGCCUCCAAAACCAACACCAUCCAGAGACCAGAGCUGUUCCUGUGGCAGUGUAGGUAGGAACCAAACCCUCUGAUAACCUACAGGACUCCUCAGAUCAGCUGACAGGAUGUUUUUUCCUUCCACGUGGUCUUUAAACCGACGUCGGGCUUCUUCCAAGGUGGCCUUGUGCCCAGCUUUACCUAGUUUGCCCAGCACCAGACCUCUCAGAAGGGCAUCUAGAUGACCUGAUGAGUAGAAGGAGAAAACAGUGAAUGAAUGUCAUCCUUUAAUUGUUCCACCCACACUGAUAAGCACAGAGCUACCAAAUAAUCCUUCUGCAUAUGAGUGGAUAAAGAAACAACGACUUCCCAGCUCUCCUCAGUGCCACUGGAAGGAUAGUUUAGUUUUUAAAUGGUAAGAGGAUUAGGAGAAUAAAAGUCUGGACCAAACACAGCCCGCAAUCUGAGCCAGGCUGGUCAUCAUAACCUGCUGGAUUUACACUGGGACUAAUUGGGACAAGUGAAUGUGAACCUACAUGGCUUCCCACCCCGACAGACUAAGAAGUUUGGAGCACUCCAACAGAUGCAAACCUACAGCAGAGAGUUCUUAAAUCAACCACAGGGCAGGGAAACGUUUACCCUUUUAACGUGCACUUAAGAGAGUUGUUUAGAGGCUUUGUGUUUGGCUUUUUAAGCAUAAAACCACCCCCAAAAUGCCUUCCUCA